rnacentral:rRNA from 1 species
UACGGAGGGAGCUAGCGUUGUUCGGAAUUACUGGGCGUAAAGCGCGCGUAGGCGGCUUUGUAAGUUAGAGGUGAAAGCCCGGGGCUCAACUCCGGAAUUGCCUUUAAGACUGCAUCGCUAGAAUCCGGGAGAGGUGAGUGGAAUUCCGAGUGUAGAGGUGAAAUUCGUAGAUAUUCGGAAGAACACCAGUGGCGAAGGCGGCUCACUGGACCGGCAUUGACGCUGAGACGCGAAAGCGUGGGGAGCGAACAGG